GGUUUUUGAGUUAUAAGCCAAAAACUGCAUUUUACCCCUAUGUUCUAUUUUUAGCCGUGGCGGCCAUCUUGGUUAGUUGACCGGUGUCAUAUGGUAUUUUGAACCCCCUAAAAAGUGAACCCGGGGUCAAAAUACCAUGCGGUAAAAUGACCCGGGGUCAUUAUACCGCAUGGUAUUUUGACCCCGGGGUCAUUUUUCACAUAUGGUAUUUUGAACCCCCCUGCGGUAUAUUGAACCCCCCUGUUUUUGAUAAAUAGUAUUGCAGAUAAUCUAAUUUACAAUUUAUUGGCUAUCAUUUUUUUAAAUUUGUGGUUUUAAGUAGGGUGUUCAAUAUACCGCAGGGGGGUCAAAAUACCAUGGCUAAGCAAAAUUUUCAAAAUAUCUUUUCCAGCAUGUUUAACACAUACAAACCACUUAUUGGAGUAUUAUAACUAUGUUAAGGAGUUAGAAUAGCUUGAAUUUUUGAAAUUCAAGGUCUACAGUAGGGGGUUCAAUAUACCGCAGGGGGUCAAAAUACCAUGGCUAAGUAAAAUUUUCAAAAUAUCUUUUCCAGUAUAUUAAAUACAUACAAACU
rnacentral:lncRNA from 1 species